AGUAACAACCCCACUCCUCGAACCAGGUGUCUGCACUAAUUACUCUUCCUCAUUGUUAUUACCUGGUGAAAAUCAAUUUGAGAAAGGAAGGGUUUAUUUGGGUUUACCAUCCAUGAGGCAUGCCAACAAGAGCAUCCAUGAGGCAUGACAACAAGAGUGUUAGGCAGCUUGUCACAAUGUGUGCAGUGAAGAAGAGAGUUCACAGAUCACCGAAACUGAAAAGAUAUUUCUCCAAAGAAGAACGACUAACAAGUAUUUGGGGGAGGGAGUUCAAUUUCACCGAUCAAUAGGGAAAUGGAAAUUAAAACUAUGAGACACCACACCACACCGUACAUGUUGGAAAGCCCUGAAGAUAAGUGUUGGCAAGGGGGUGGAGAAUAGAGAUCCCUUAAGCAUU
rnacentral:lncRNA from 1 species